rnacentral:rRNA from 1 species
GAUGAACGCUAGCGGCAGGCCUAAUACAUGCAAGUCGAACGGUGUAGCAAUACACAGUGGCGCACGGGUGCGUAACACGUAUGCAACCUACCUUACAUUGGGGGAUAGCCUUUCGAAAGGGAGAUUAAUACCGCAUAAGACAGUAACUAGGCAUCUAGUAGCUGUUAAAGAUUUAUCGAUGUAAGCUGGGCAUGCGUCCAAUUAGUUAGUUGGCGAGGUAAUGGCUCACCAAGACGAUGAUUGGUAGGGGAACUGAGAGGUCAAUCCCCCACACUGGCACUGAGAUACGGGCCAGACUCCUACGGGAGGCAGCAGUAGGGAAUAUUGGGCAAUGGGCGCAAGCCUGACCCAGCCAUGCCGCGUGCAGGAAGAAGGCGUUAUGCGUUGUAAACUGCUUUUAUACAGGAAGAAACGACCCUUGCGAGGGGCAUUGACGGUACUGUAUGAAUAAGCACCGGCUAACUCCGUG